ensembl:lncRNA
GAGGGAAUCAGUAGGAGGGAAUCAGCAGGAGGGAAUCAGUAGAAGAGAAUCAGUAGGAGGGAAUCAGUAGAAGAGAAUCAGUAGGUGGGAAUCAGUAGGAGAGAAUCAGUAGGAGGGAUCAGUAGGUGAGAAUCAGUAGGAGAGAAUCAGUAGGUGAGAAUCAGUAGGUGAAAAUCAGUAGGAGAGAAUCAGUAGGAGAGAAUUAAUCAGCAGGUGAAAAUCAGUAGCAGAGAAUCAAUCAUUAGGUGAAAAUCAGUAGGAGUGAAUCAGUAGGAGAGAAUCAACAAGAGAGAAUCAGUACGUGAGAAUCAGUAGGAGAUAAUCAGUAGGUGAGAAUCAGUUGGAGAGAAUCAGUAGGUGAGAAUCAGUAGGAGAGAAUCAGUAGGAGGGAUCAGUAGGAGAGAAUCAGUUGGAGAGAAUCAGUAGGAGGGAUCAGUAGGUGAGAAUCAGUAGGAGGGAAUCAGUAGGAGAGAAUCAGUAGGAGAGAAUCAGUAGGUGAGAAUCAAUAGGAGAUAAUCAAUAGGAGAUAAUUAGUAGGAGAGAAUCAGUAGGUGAGAAUCAGUAGGAGAUAAUCAAUAGGAGAGAAUCAGUAGGAGAUAAUCAAUAGGAGAGAAUCAGUAGGCG